GAGCCCCUCGCUCCUCUUUGUGCCACUGGUGCGGGCGUGGAGGCGAGCUUCUCCGGCGGCGGCUGCGACCUGCAGGAAAAGUACGACCGCGACAGGGCUCGAUUCAAUCUGUAGGAGAGAGAGAAGAUGAGAGGGAGAGAGAGAAGGAAGGAGAGGAGGAAGAAAGAGAGAGGAAAGAGGAGAGGGAGGUGUGGCGACAGACGGGAGAGCGUCACAGGAAGGAGCGCCGCUGGCUCGUCGUCGUGCACACCACACUGUAGUAGAGGCGCCCCUGUACAUCCCUCACGCCCGCAGGUUGCUGUGGAAGAAGACGGGCAUGGCCGUGGGCUCCAUGCGGCUCGAGCUCCGCGACGGCCAGCGCCAUGGUUGCUGACCUCGACUGCGACGCCGCGCCCCUUGCCGCCUACUCCCCCUACGACGGGUACCGGCUGCACGUCAUCAACCUUGACCCCUCGUCGGUGACCUCCGGUGGGUGGCUGGAGGGCACCUCGCUCGUUGAGAAGUACACCAUAUCGGACGAUGCAUACGACGAGCUCGGCACAAACAUCCGGAAGUUCAAAGAGAAGAUGGUGUCGAAAAACCCUGUAUCGGAUGAUAAGCAAUCAGACAAUCAGAUGGAGGAAUUGUGUGCUAACAUCAAGGACAGUUCAUUUGCUUUACACAUGUUUAUCAGAUUGAGUUUUUCCAUAUGAAGUGGGAUAUUGCCAACUAGCCUGCUGAUGUUAGCAAGAUUUAAUAGUUUAGCUUGUUAAGUAUUGAUGAUGUAGCACCGCUGGUCGAGCUACUGUUUCCCCUAUAUUUAGCGUCUGGGUUUGGGAUCAGAUUCUUGCGAGGACAGCAACAGCAGCCGGCCAGCGUUUGUAUUCGCAGAGUUCAUGAACGCGCUUCUUCUGUAACUUAAUAAGAUGUUUUUUGACACUGUAUUCGCAGAGUUCAUGAACGCUGCAGUGGGGUUUCCAGCGCAGCGACAACAUGACGACUAAGUUCAACAGCCUCAUAUCACACUGCAUCAGAAGUUAGCCGCGUAAUAUGGUCGCCGGAUGGAAGUACAAGUUCGCACUUACAAAAGUAAAGUACAUUUUUAGCGCCACUGUUGUUUCUUGCUUCACUAUGUUGUUCCAGGCGGUUCUUGAUGGUACGUGCUCUUGUCUGAUUUGUAAAAGUGAUGUUUGAAAGAGCAAAUGGUUUUGGUUUUGUUAUUACAAGCAAAACAAACAAUAAGAAGUAUAUUAUUUGAUUAUUGAGUCAAUGCAUUUGCCAUACAUUUGUAGGUAUUUUCUUGCAUCCUCUCUUUUCUCCAGGAAUGUUGUGUAGUUUAUUGAUGCGCCUACAUAAGCCUUUAGGUCACUGUUUAUCUUCAUACAUGUGUUCCUUGUUCACCUUUCUAUCUACUAUAGAAUAGCUGCUGACUGGGAAUAAUACUUAACAGGGUAGCAACAUGAAUGUUUAUGUUUCCUGUACUGUUGUUUGUGAUUGAGUUAGAACAUGUAUGUCCUCAUAUUCUCGCGUUGCUGUCUAAAAACUGUUUACAUGGAAAUAACUGAAGAGCAGUGGUUUUAUUUCCCUGUAUGUGUGUGUGUGUGUGUGUGUGU